GUGGGACGGGGAUGCUUGACCGGUGGACGUGCCGGAUAAACUGGCCCAGGAACCGCACCGGGCGCAGCUCCCGAGCGGUCCGACCAUGAUCAGCCAGCAGCCGCUGCAACCCCAGGGAG
rnacentral:sRNA from 22 species